rnacentral:lncRNA from 1 species
GCGGGGAGGCUGGGGGCGGGGCUGCAGCCGCCGCCGCUGUCCCCGCCCGGUGCCUCCUGCGGGCCGCCGCCCCGGCUCGCGGCGCGCCCUCCCGAGCCUCGGAGUCCUCUCUACCUGGCGCUGUGCGAGGCUACAUGAGCAAUCUCAUGGAUACCUAGUGACAGCUGGGACACAUGCGUUCCAGAGCUGGAAAGUGUGCAGCCUCUGAGGCGUCUUCUCCUUCCAUCUCCAGCAGAAAUUCUUUCCCCCAGAUCCAUACAACUUAUUAGAUGAAGCACUCUCCAUCACCUGACUCAGCUUCACAGUGUCCUGCUCCCAAGGUUCCAGGUGCUCAACUAUCCGUUGAUGGAAUGAAUGAACAAACAAAUGAAUGAAUAGCGUAUGCCUCCUUCUUUUCUGGGAACAAGCCCUAUUUACAGGAGAGGCUCCAAGGCUGACCUGCUGCUUGGCCAAAGCUGAUUGAUCGAGGGGUGGACACGGAACCCAAUCCAGGCCAAUCAUGUCUUUUUUCUGGGAAUUUAAAAUUUGGAACCAGGAAAAAAGAGACUGGGCACUGCUGA